UACGUAGGGUGCAAGCGUUGUCCGGAAUUACUGGGCGUAAAGCGUAUGCAGGCGGAUCGUUAAGUCGGGGGUGAAGUCCCGAGGCUCAACCUCGGAACUGCCUUCGAUACUGGCGAUCUUGAGUCCGGGAGAGGUGAGUGGAACUCCGAGUGUAGAGGUGAAAUUCGUAGAUAUUCGGAAGAACACCAGUGGCGAAGGCGGCUCACUGGCCCGGUACUGACGCUGAGAUACGAAAGCGUGGGGAGCAAACAGG
rnacentral:rRNA from 1 species